GACGGAGGAGGCUAGCGUUGUUCGGAAUUACUGGGCGUAAAGCGUGCGCAGGUUGUAAGUUCAGUCUGAUGUGAAAGCCCGGGGCUCAACCUCGGAUGUGCAUUAGAUACUGGCUUGCUGGAGGUUGGAAGAGGAGAGUGGAAUUCCCAGUGUAGAGGUGAAAUUCGUAGAUAUUGGGAAGAACACCAGUGGCGAAGGCGGCUCUCUGGUCCACACCUGACACUCAUGCACGAAAGCGUGGGGAGCAAACAGG
rnacentral:rRNA from 1 species